rnacentral:lncRNA from 1 species
UGUGUUUUAUUAUUUAUAUAAUGCUUUGAUUGGUGCUUAUUGCAUAUUUUAUUCAUUGCAUUAUAUGUUUGGACGAUGUUUGGUGGUUGAAUUUUAUUUGUUUAAAAAUCGUUUUGAGUAAAGGUGUUUCUGGAAUUUAAAAUUUGUGAGAAAGAAAAUGAUUGAAAAUCAUUAUUUUGGGGAGAUUAAAUUUUUCAAAGUGCUUUAAACGGUAUUUAACUUCACAUUCAUAUUAAGUUAAAUUCAUAUUAAUUAUCGGUUUUACUCCACCUUUUAUUAUUUUGACGAUAAUUUAUUAUAUGAAUUCUUAAUACAUAUAUUCAUCAAAAUUUUAAAAUAAAAUUUGAUCUCUUGGUGAUUAAUUCAUCUUGGUUGUGUGUGUUGGAUAUGAUGGAUGGUUAUUCGCUAAUAGACCAAAAUUUGUCAAAAUUACUUUCAAUUGUGAGAUUGUCUAAUUUAGGGGGAGUUUGGAUUAUUAAAAAAAAAAGAAGAAGAAAAAAGAUA